UAAUACACAAUACAGAACCACAUCCGCGUAUAAUUUAUUCAAUUCAUCUUUCAUUCUGAAACAAAUUCAUUUUCCUUUUUGAAAACAAAACAAACAGUUGUUUAUAAUGUCUGUGUCAUUUUGGUCUCUUGUGGACAGUUGUCUCAUUGGCAAUCAUACCAUAUCUUCUUUUUUAUAUGCAAACCAAAGAGUGAUGGAAAUCUGCUGAGCACCACAAAAUGCAUGAAUGUGUGGUAUUCUUUAUCAUAUAAGAUAACUUUUCAGAAAUGUUGUCUGUUUGAUUGAUAGAAAAUCGCAUAAAAAUCGAUAAAGCAAAUACUAUAAUUUUUUCAUUCAUCAAAAAUAUAAUUUAUGCUGACAAGAAAUACUUUCUAAGAACAAAAGUCCGUGCUUUUAAUUAGAUCUAUAAUAUCGGGUGUAAAAAACAGAAAAUUGUCUUUUGAUAAUGAAAAAAAAAUGUUUGGACUUUAACGGUGCUUUUUUGUGGACUUUAGCGGAACUUGUUGUUGUGGACUUUAACGGUGUUUUCUUGUGGACUUUAGCGGAGGUCAUUUUGUGGACUUUAGCGGAAAUUUUGUGGACUUUUGCGGCGUUGUGGACUUUAGCGGAAAAUUGUUGUGGACUUUAGCGGUGUUGUGGACUUUAGAGGAAUUGUGGACUUUAACGGUGCCACAGUGCACUUCUUUGUUUG
rnacentral:lncRNA from 1 species